CCCCUAGACGUUCUGGGCUGCACGCGCGCUACAAUAAUACGCACAGCGAGUAUCACCGAGCUCGAAAGGGCAAGGUAAACAAUAGAAAAGGUACUGUAAUGGUUAUAGAUCCUUGUAAUUAUUGAUCUUCAACGAGGAAUUCCUAGUAAGUAUGUGUCAUCAUCACGCACUGAUUACGUCCCUGCCCUUUGUACACACCGCCCGUCGCUCCUACCGAUUGGGUGAGCCGAUGAAACUCUCGGAUGUAGGCUAUUCAUAGCCCGCAGAAGAGAUUUGAAUCGUAGCGCUUAGAGGAAGUAAAAGUCGUAACA
rnacentral:rRNA from 1 species